rnacentral:lncRNA from 1 species
AGUCUAAGCCGCGCCCCUUCCCCUGCCAGCACCCGAGCAAGGCGACUGGCUAACUUGCCGACUUAGCUCCGGCCAAGAAAGGCAAAAGGCCAACGCGAUCCAUGUCGCGUUCGCAACCUACCAACCAGGUCACGACCGGUCGAAGGGUAUUCGGUUUACCACCGUUUAGCGUACGUCUCGACGCAUACGCCCAACAGAGAAUCAGGCAACAGAUGACCGACUUGUCAUCUACUAAACGCAC